ACUCCUGCGGGAGGCAGCAGUGGGGAAUUUUGGACAAUGGGCGAAAGCCUGAUCCAGCAAUGCCGCGUGAGUGAAGAAGGCCUUCGGGUUGUAAAGCUCUUUUGUCAGGGAAGAAACGGUGAGAGCUAAUAUCUUUUGCUAAUGACGGUACCUGAAGAAUAAGCACCGGCUAACUACGUGCCAGCAGCCGCGGUAAUACGUAGGGUGCAAGCGUUAAUCGGAAUUACUGGGCGUAAAGCGUGCGCAGGCGGUUUUGUAAGUCUGAUGUGAAAUCCCCGGGCUCAACCUGGGAAUUGCAUUGGAGACUGCAAGGCUAGAAUCUGGCAGAGGGGGGUAGAAUUCCACGUGUAGCAGUGAAAUGCGUAGAUAUGUGGAGGAACACCGAUGGCGAAGGCAGCCCCCUGGGUCAAGAUUGACGCUCAUGCACGAAAGCGUGGGGAGCAAACAGGAUUAGAAACCCGAGUAGUCCCAUGAU
rnacentral:rRNA from 1 species